UCUCUCUCUGUCUCUCUCUCUCUCUCUCUAUCUCUCUCUCUCUGCCCCUCCCCUGCUUUCAUGUGAGCUCUCUCUCAAAAAUAAGUAAAUAAACUUUAAAAAAAAAAGAGAGAGAAAGUAUGUUCCACAUGAUCUCUGUCUUAGGCAAAACAUACACAGAAAAUGUGUAUGAACUAAUAAAAUUUUUAUUAAAUAUUCCCUUAGUGCUCUGAAAAUGUAUAUUCUGGUUUGGGGUGUAAAAAUUUUAGACACAGUUCUUAAAUAUUAUACUAAGGUUGUUACUUGUGUUACUCAAAUUCUUAAACCUCAUUUUUUCUAUUUAAUCCAUUUCUGAGAAACGCGUUUCUUGUUUUCACAGUUUCUCCUUGAAUUUACGGAUCUUUUGCUACUCUGUUUGAUGAGUAUUUUGAUGCUCUAUGAUGUGGCUGAGGAUAUGUGACUAUUGUAUUUUCUUUGUGAAUUCUUUUUAACCGGUACGAAAUCACUCAUUUGCCCCAUUUAAGAAUGUUUGCCCUGGGGCGCCUGGGUGGCUCAGUGGGCUAAGUGUCCAACUCUUGAUUUCGGCUCAGGUUAUGAUCUCAUGAUUCGUGAGAUCGAGCCCCACGUUGGGCUCUGUGCUGACUGUGUGGAGCCUGCUUGGGAUUCUCUCUCCCCUCACCCACGUGCUCUCUCAAAAUAAAUGAGUAAACAUUAAAAAAAAAAAGAAUUUUUGCCUAGAGCUCUCAUACGGGUCUUGCUCUACCUACUGCCUCUCCCUUCCUUUAUUUGCUGGUGUUUCCUGUGUCAUUGGGUUUGGAUUGAGUCUCCUGUCAACAGCAUGCCCUGAACCUGUCAGACGAUGCCUUUAAAUGGGGGAAUGGAACCUGGUAAAUGAAAUUACUGACAUGUCCUGAGUUAUCCCAGGGAGCAAAUUUUUUGGUCUUCCGUUUACAUUUUGGACAGCCACCAGUCAAUGGAAAUAAGAUGUGAAACUUCUAAAUCACCAGAGGAGAGAAAGAGAAGGAUUUCCACCGAGCCCGGAAGCAUAGAGAGAGACAGAACUCAACGAGGAAGGCCGCACAUUAAACCAAACCCACAGCUACCUUCCUAGGACCUUCAGUAUGUGUUCUCCCCAGCUGCCCUGUAAAGGUUUUUUAGGAGCCCCUCGGAAUUUCCGAUUUCAGCUACUGAUGAGUUUUUUCUUCUGUUAAGGUAAUUUGGAAGUCCGUUCUUGAAUCCUGCAUUAAAGGCAGUGACGACAGUCACUUAACUGGGUACUUGCUGGCUCAGCCUGUGAUCGCAAAGCCGCCCGUACUGCUGAGGGGUUGCUUGUAGGGCCGCAGUGGCGAGGCCGUGGCACUCAACGCUCCGGGUUAAUAGACUUACGCGUUUAUUCCAGUUUUCUAGGAGAUGUCAGGAAAGUGUCUUGGUGACAGAGCACAUUUUGAAAUCGGUCCUCGGUUUAUGGCUGUUUGUUUUAUGCUGAUAUCUGGCGAUUCUUUGCUGCCUAUUAACUUUUCUAGUCCGUAUCUGGAUUAAGCUGGUGUGAAUGAUCUCAGGAACCGUGCAAGGCAGCGCUUUGUCUCCCCAUAGUAAACCUCACCCUGGCAGGGAAGGUGCACCAGUAGGAAGCCCUCCCUUUAAGGACCUGGCUGGGAAGGGCUGUCUGUCCUCCGGCUCCCCACCACCGCUCCCGGCUCUUAGCUGUGCAGCACACACACACACACACACACACACACACACACACACAGACAAAGCUGCUAGAGCAACGUGAACAGAUACCCACUUCGUCUAAAGUGAUGACAGUGUCCCCUAAGCCCCCAAAGGCAAGGCUCUCUGGUUAAAAUGGUUUCAAGAUGAGUACUUUUCUGAAUAAUAACACUUCUGUUAAAAAGUUAGGAAGAGACCGGAUUGAAGAGUGAGGCUUGGUCCCAAACGUAGGGAAGCCCUCCCUGAAACUGAAGCCCCACGCUGGCGGGCCCACCAAACAGCAAGCUGGAAGUGGGAGAGGACCGCAUCCCACCGGUUGGUGCAGGUGGGCAGGGCAGGGCGCACGGAGGGAUGGUCGCAGGGGCAUCUGCUGCGAACGCAGGUGGCGGGAAGUGCCUGGCCUGGCCCUGCUUCUGAGACCCGAUAAAACAGGAGCAUGAGGUCCUGGCCCACAGUGGUGCUGCAUCGUCCUGCCCGGGAGAGCGAAAGGAAGACCGAAGUGAGCUCUCAUUGGCGGGCCUGGGGAAAACAGAAGUCCCUUCUGUGUGGGCUGACGCACAGAGCAGGGGGGACGCUCACCCUCCUUCACACACCCCUCCAGCCGACAUCAUUUGGGCUGGGGUGCUCUGCCCUUGCGUCCCAUACCCACCCAUCGUCUGCACCAUCCAGAAGUUUCUCAAAGACAUUCUUCCGUGCUGGCACUAUUCCGGCUCCCCGGUGACCUCUGGUUCUCGUUUCAUAGCGCUUUGAUUUCGAAGGGAUGUGGAAAGGAGGAGAUAGAAACGCGUAGACAGUCCCCCCCUCUUGGACUGAAAAGGUGACGGUGAGACAUGGAACCCGAGGGAGAUGUCGGGGAGAGAUGGGACACGAAACCAACCCAGGAUCGACAGUAUUGCAGCCGGGGGGCUCGGGAGAAGACAGUCAAGUAGGAGGUUUCCACCUGCAGAGAUUUGACAGUCUUGAUCGGAGACGCCAGCAUCAUUGGUGUCCAGGCGCCAGUGUUGGGUGGAGAGCUGUGCUCGUGCUCCGGGGCGGCUUCACCUCUGCUGUUCGUGUUUAGCAUCUGCAUUCCCAUGGCAGCCAUUCCAGGAUUCCUGUAUCUCCCUCUUCCACGUAAUCCUUGUCAUCCUUCAAAGGCGAAAACUCGUUCCGUGUCCUGUGCGGGCAUCCGUGCAGACCGGUCUUGUCCACACUGGCAGUGCAGUCCACCGUACUUCGGACGAGCGCCCCCUAUGGACUAGGAUGCAGCGUUUCAUCCAGUCCCAUUGCCUUAAAAUUCGCGAUGCUUGAUGUCUCCAGUCCUGACCGCUACUCUGAGCUCUGAUGCAGAUGUCCAAGCACCUACUUGAAAUCCCUGCUUGGGUAGAGAAGCAUCUUGAAAUCAACAUGCCCAGAUGAAGUUCAUGACUGCGGCUGUCUGAAAACCCAACCAGACUUCCACCUCCAAAAUAGAUCACUGUUCCAUCAGUGCUCUCCGUGUGCUCCCGUAGGGCGCCUUUCACCCACACCUGUCACCUGGAGCGAUGGAGACAGUUGUCUCAUGGGCCUCCCGCUUCCUCUCCCACCUCCCAACCAUGCUUCUGCCAGCAGCCACAGUGACUUUUCAUAAACAUGUCUGGCGAUACAGCGUUCACCUUCUAAAGCAUGCUGAGGCUUCCUGUUAGAACAAAAUAAAGCUCUUUCCCACGCCC